rnacentral:rRNA from 1 species
AUUGAACGCUGGCGGCAGGCCUAACACAUGCAAGUCGAACGAGUGGCGGACGGGUGAGUAAUGUCUGGGAAACUGCCUGAUGGUGGGGGAUAACUUCUGGCAACGGUAGCUAAUACCGCAUACCAUCGGAUGUGCCCAGAUGGUAUUAGCUAGUUGGUGGGGUAAAGGCUCACCUAGGCGACGAUCCCUAGCGGGUCUGAGAGGAUGACGAGCGACACUGGAAAUGAGAAACGGUCCAGACACCUACGGGAGGCAGCAGUGGGGAAUAUUGCACAAUGGGCGCAAGCCUGAUGCAGCCAUGCCGCGUGUAUGAAGAAGGCCUUCGGGUUGUAAAGUACUUUCAGCGGGGAGGCGUUACCCGCAGAAGAAGCACCGGCUAACUCCGUGCCAGCAGCCGCGGUAAUUC